rfam:Betaproteobacteria bacterium 13_1_20CM_3_63_8 13_1_20cm_3_scaffold_6791, whole genome shotgun sequence.
CGGGGACGUGCGAGCAGACUCCCCGUUCCACCAGACGUUCCAGCGUCCAAGCUCUGC